rnacentral:rRNA from 1 species
GGACUACAGGGGUAUCUAAUCCUGUUUGCUACCCACGCUUUCGUGUCUCAGCGUCAGUGGCCGUCCAGAUAGCCGUCUACACCGCAGGUGUUCCUCCUGAUAUCUACGCAUUUCACCGCUACACCAGGAAUUCCGCUAUCCUCUCCGGCACUCAAGCCUUCCAGUUUUCGGCGCACCCUCCCAGUUAAGCCGGGAGAUUUCACACCAAACUUAGAAAACCGCCUACACACUCUUUACGCCCAGUAAUUCCGAACAACGCUUGCUGCCUACGUAUUACCGCGGCUGCUGGCAC